CUCUCGGCAACACUGAACUCCAAGCAAAAAACAUUCUACAUGUCGACUGUGAACGGGUUUGCGUGGAUAUGAAACUUGAUUGUUUCAUAUCAUUACAGUUCAUGUGGGGCGAAUUUUGCAGUGAAAACUACAACUUGGACCCAGCAGUAAACAAGGCGCGCGUUGGUUCGUCAGGCAAAAGAACAAAAUGGUCGUGCUACAGGUAAUUGUCGACAAAUCCGGCGAGCAGAGGAUCGAAUUAGUGAUGGCGGUGGAGAAAUUUCCCCUUGUGCAUCCAUCAGGUUGUGGUAAGGAGAAAAGUUACCACACAGGUGUCGGACGCAAACGAUUUGCUGAGCUCCGAAGAGCGGGAAAUUGGCCACGGCUAAUAUCUGACCAAAUGCGACUCGUAUCAAUCCCACGGUUAUGAACCUGCAUGAAGAGGGUCCACAAUGGUUCCAGCUCAGAUGCAUGCUGUUCUACAUCGGUUAUGGUUCGCUGCAGGAUCCUUCAAAUUGUCCAAAAAUUGUAACGAAAAUGUUUUGUUUUGAACAAAAAUUGGACCUAAUAAGAAAUGUAUUAUUCAUAGCUUUUAAGAAAGCGUUCAAUAAAGUUUUAUAAAAUAUUUGUGAA